UACGGAGGGAGCUAGCGUUGUUCGGAAUUACUGGGCGUAAAGCGCACGUAGGCGGCUUUGUGAGUUAGAGGUGAAAGCCCGGGGCUCAACUCCGGAAUUGCCUUUAAGACUGCAUCGCUUGAAUCCGGGAGAGGUGAGUGGAAUUCCGAGUGUAGAGGUGAAAUUCGUAGAUAUUCGGAAGAACACCAGUGGCGAAGGCGGCUCACUGGACCGGUAUUGACGCUGAGGUGCGAAAGCGUGGGGAGCGAACAGG
rnacentral:rRNA from 1 species